UGAGGUUAGAUGAGCCCUUUUGUUUUGUUGAGCACCUGCCCCUUUAGUGGUCUCUGCACGGCCCUGCCAUCAAGACCAAACACUGGAACCUGGAUCAUCUCAAGAACUCCCUGCAAAGAGACCAAAUCCCUGACGAUCACAGUAUUUCUUCAGUAUUUCACAGUAACACUUGCAGUUUUAUACUCCUAGAAAUGUCACUUCUUUGUUUAAAAUUAUGUCCUUCAUAAUGAAACUAGAAAACAAAAUUUUGAUACACUUUUUCUUCUUUUGUGGAGUUAUGAUGGUGUUAAAAUCAGGGCAGAUAUACUUCAAGCACACUGCAAAUCUUAUAAAUGAAUAAAAUUUUAAAUUUGGAAGGAAUAAUUUUUAAAACAUAAAAGGUGGAAAGAUAGCACUGAUGGGAUGAGCCUUUAUUACAACUGUGUGUCAGGGUCUGGAUUUUUCUGAUUUGUUUUUGUUUGUCUUUUCCUUUUUUUUCGUUGGUUUAAGUUUUUAUUUUCCUGGAGCACCUGCCAUUUCCCAUGGCAUCCCCCAGAUGCCGCCAGGGUUCAGAGCGUAGACGCACCUGCAGCUCGUUUGGAGGAUAUAAACAGCGGCUGAACGACUAAUCAUCGCCUGAGUGUUUGCUUACCUUGGUGAACCUGCUGUCUCCUCGUCUGUUCCGGUAGUGAUGGGCAAAUGAAGCCUCAUGAAGCAGUGAAGCUUUCCAACCCUUUGCUUUG